rnacentral:piRNA from 1 species
UUCUCUGUCUGGUGCUGAGACACAGGGU